AAGUCGUAACAAGGUUUCCGUAGGUGAACCUGCGGAAGGAUCAUUAGUGAGACGCGUAAUGCACGCGACAAAAUGCAUGGCGGCGAAAGCCUGCCGUGUAUUGACCAGUGUUUUGUUGAAAGAGAGAGAGAGAGUGAGAGGGGGAAGGAGUGAGAGCGCGCGGGGAAAGAGAAAGUGUAUAGAGUGAAGUUUGGCGGUCGUGUGCACUUACACAAUGUAAUGCUGUGUAUAAUGCCCCCGCCAACGCUCACACUUACAUCUCUCUCAUCCUACUCGUGCUCACACACCCACCCACCCACACUCACUCACUCGCCCACAUUAACCCCAAAUUGCACCGAACAAACGAAUAAUUCAUUAUAACCAUAAUACAACUGUUGGCAACGGAUCACUCGGCUCUC
rnacentral:misc_RNA from 1 species